UGGGGAAUCUUCCGCAAUGGACGAAAGUCUGACGGAGCAACGCCGCGUGUAUGAUGAAGGUCUUCGGAUUGUAAAGUACUGUCAUUGGGGAAGAACGGUUUUCUUGAAAAGAUUGAGAAGACAUGACGGUACCCAAGGAGGAAGCCCCGGCUAACUACGUGCCAGCAGCCGCGGUAAUACGUAGGGGGCAAGCGUUNUCCGGAAUUAUUGGGCGUAAAGGGCGCGUAGGCGGGCCUUUAAGUCCGGUGUGAAAGAUCAGGGCUCAACCCUGAGAGUGCAUCGGAAACUGGAGGCCUUGAGGACAGGAGAGGAAAGUGGAAUUCCACGUGUAGCGGUGAAAUGCGUAGAUAUGUGGAGGAACACCAGUGGCGAAGGCGACUUUCUGGACUGUAACUGACGCUGAGGCGCGAAAGCGUGGGGGAGCAAACAGGAUUAGAUACCCUGGUAGUCCACGCCGUAAACGAUGAGUGCUAGGUGUAGAGGGUAUCGACCCCC
rnacentral:rRNA from 1 species